rnacentral:rRNA from 1 species
AUGGCAGAGGAACCGUCCGCCAAGUGUCAUCAUGGCGAGACGUCGGACAAGACCAGCAACCUCGUCGACGUUCACGUCCCCAGCGAGAAGCGCGAGUACACCACAACACUCACAGGGGUUGAGCUCCACGGCAAGGAGACGCUGGAGAUCGUCUGCAUCAGCGAACCAGACGAGGCCAACAAGAUGAUCUCCAGGCUCUGGAGGAAGGCUGGCGGCAAGCUUCGUAAGAUCGUCGGCGUUGGUGUGCACUACACCAGCGAAGAUGAACCUCCCUAG